UGUGGCUUUGAAGGAUGAGUUGCCCCUGGAAGUAGAGAAAGCUAGAGGAAAAAGAAAACAACUUCCUGUGGUUUCCACAAAUGUUACAAAGGUUUUCUUUUCUAGAACUCCAAACAGAGCAACGGUGAAGCAUUAGGGGAAAACUGAAAAUAGACUGCUCGGUGAAAAUUGUCUUCCAUACAUCAGGAAAUGGUCCUCAGGUGGGCCUUCCACACCCAGAACCGUGCUGAC